GACAAGUCAGGAGCCCAGAGAGGUUGUGGAGUUUCCUUCUCUGGAGGACACCUGGACAUUGUCACCCUGGGCUGGAGCAGGGGGUUGGACUGGAUGAGCUCCAGAGUUCCCCUCCCACCCCACCAUGGGGUUGAACUUGCCACCACAGGCACCACACCUUAGCACUGUCACCUCAGGAUGUGCCAGCACCCCUAGCUCAGGCCAGAGUGUGGUGCCUCAGCUACAGCCCCUCCAGAGACCCACCAUGACCAAGAAGCAGCCAUCUGCCCUUGCCCUGUCACAUCCCCACGUCCCUCCUGGGUCACUUUCAUGGCUGCAGACAUUAAAGCCCAGCCCAGGCCACCAGAGGCCCUUCUCUCUGUUCAGGAACCAUCAGGAGAAGUAGGCAGAGAACGCAGGAGCCAACAGCUCCUAGGAACCAUCUUGGCCAAGACCCAUCACCUGCCCAGGCUGAUGGGGCACACACAGUUUGGGGUGCAUCUACAGGAACGGGGUGACCAGGGUGGCAUCUCUGCAGCGCAAGGGCCAGGACCACCCCCACCCAGCACCACAAGUGACUGCAGUUGCCCACACAGAGCCAGCGCAAAGCAGAUGCCACCAGGCCACUUUGCCUCUCCAAGAUGCUGAUCAUGCUGUGGCACCAAGGCUGGUCACAAACUGCUGCUGAUGUGCAGCCAGCGUGGCCAGCGUGGGACCCACAGCUCCACCAUGGAAUCACAGUGUCAGUCAUGGAAUGGUUUUAGUUGGAGGAGGCCUUGAAGAUCACCAAGUCCAACCCUUGGACUCCAGCACUGCCAGGGCACCACCAAACCAUGGCCCUCAGCAGCACAUCUCCAUGGCUUUGAGACCCCUCCAGGGAUGGGGACUCCAACGCUGCAGCCUGGGCCAGACCUGGCCAACUCUCAACAGACUCCUUUUUUCCAGGCUCAACAACCCCAGGUCUUCAGCUGCUCCUCACCGGACCUGUUCUCUCCUCUGGUGGGACUGCAGCAGAUCCACACCAGGGCAGGCUGGCAGGGACCUCCAGAGAUCAUCCCAGCCAAGCCCCCUGAUCAACCAAGGAAUGUCCAUAUGAAUUUUGCUUGUCUUCAAGGAUGGAGGCUCCACAACACAAACUGGAAUCCCAGCACGGUGUGGUGGGAAGGGACCUCUGGAGCUCAUCCAGUCCAACCCCCUUGCUCCACCAGGGGCACCCACAGCAGCUUGCCCAAGGUCACAAUAGCCAGGUGGGCUUGGAAGCUCUCCACACAAGGAGACUCCACAACCUCUCCGGGCAGCCUGCUCACCACUCUCACAGCCAAGUGGCUCCUGCUGGAACCUCCUGGCUUCCACUUGGUGCCCCUUGCCCCUUGGCCUGGCACUGGCCACCACUGACGAGAGCCUGGCCCCAUCCUCUUGCCCCCUGCAGGUCCUUUAUCUCUUGCUGAGCAUUGCUCAGAUGCCCUCUAGGGCUGCCCUUCUCCCCAGGUGUCUCAGCCUGCUCUCACAGGGAUGCUCCAGGCCCCUCACUCAACGUUUUGUCUCCCUUCACAGACCCCAGCUGGCAGCAGGUCCAUGCCCCAUCGCUCCUGCAUCCCCUCCGCCAAAACCUCACCUUGCCUCUCGUGUGCCACUUGAAAAUGCUGCUGCUGGACCUGGGUCCCUUGCACCAUGAGGUGGAGCCCACGCCACAAGCCCCAGCUCUUCUGCAAAGCAUCUCCCAGGGAAGCAUGGCUUAGGGGCUGCCCACCCAGCCCAGAGCCUCAUUGAUCCUGGCCACGCUCAAUCAAUCAUUAGAGACUUAAUGAGUCCAAGUGUCUCAGAGCCUCCAUCCAUCAGCUCUCUGGGCCGUUCCUAACGAGGUUAGUGACCAUCUCAGAUCCCACUGCUCUUGUCCAGGGCUCUCUUGGCAGGCUCAAUUAAAGGCUGUUGAUUAGUUUAA